ACACACAUCACACACCUUGAUGCUCACACAGUCACAGCCUGGCCUCUGCUCCUGUGGGCCAGUGGCCAGACAUCCCCUGGGAUGGCUCAAAGUGCCUUUCACAUCCUGCCAUGAUCCUGAGGCCUCCCCAGCCAUGUGGAGCUGGAAGGAUUCCGGGAGACAGAGGAGGAGACGCCAGCAUUUCGCCCCCGGCGCCUCCAGCGGGCUGCGGUCCGCUCCCGGCCUCACUCGAGCAGGCCCCGCCCUCCCAGAGGCCGUUAGUCCAAGUCAAGUGAUCGUGGACUCAGUUGACCCGGUGGGACCGGAAAAAGAAAUUCCCGGGCCCUGGCUUCCUGGCGCGAUGAUGAGGCACCAGGAGUGAAGCGAGGCGUGGGCUGCUGGAGCGGGAAUGAGGGGGCGCCAGUGGCUCCGGAAACGGGUGGAGGUUGUCUGCCCUGGACUCUCCGUAAACAGUGUGUGC
rnacentral:lncRNA from 1 species